rnacentral:rRNA from 1 species
GGGCCCGCACAAGCGGCGGAGCAUGUGGCUUAAUUCGAAGCGACGCGAAGAACCUUACCUGGGCUUGACAUGCGGGGUGAAACCGUGGAAACACGGCGCUCUUCGGAGCCCGCACAGGUGGUGCAUGGCUGUCGUCAGCUCGUGCCGUGAGGUGUUGCCUUAAGUGGCGCAACGAGCGCAACCCCUGUCCCUAGUUGCCAGCGGAUCAUGCCGGGAACUCUAGGGAGACUGCCGGUGCCAAACCGGAGGAAGGUGGGGAUGAGGUCAAGUCAUCAUGCCCCUUAUGUCCAGGGCUGCACACAUGCUACAAUGCGCGAUACAGAGGGCUGCGAUCCCGUGAGGGGGAGCGAAUCCCAAAAAGUCGCGCUCAGUUCGGAUCGGGGUCUGCAACCCGACCCCGUGAAGUCGGAGUCGCUAGUAAUCGCGGAUCAGCAAUGCCGCGGUGAAUACGUUCCCGGGCCUU